rnacentral:misc_RNA from 1 species
UACGGGACGCAGCAGUGGGGAAUUUUGGACAAUGGGGGAAACCCUGAUCCAGCCAUCCCGCGUGUGCGAUGAAGGCCUUCCGGGUUGUAAAGCACUUUUGGCAGGAAAGAAACGGCGCAGGAUAAUACCCGUGCAACUGACGGUACCUGCAGAAUAAGCACCGGCUAACUACGUGCCAGCAGCCGCGGUAAUACGUAGGGUGCAAGCGUUAAUCAGAAUACUGGGCGUAAAGCGUGCGCAGGCGGUUCGGAAGAAGAUGCAAAAAUCCAGGCUUAACUUUGGAACUGCAUUUUUAACUACCGAGCUAGAGUGUGUCAGAGGGAGGUGGAAUUCCGCGUGUAGCAGUGAAAUGCGUAGAUAUGCGGAGGGGUACCGAUGGCGAAGGCAACCUCGGGAUAAGCACUGACGCUCAUGCACGAAAGCGUGGGGAGCAAACGGAUUAGAUACCCUCGUAGU